rnacentral:tRNA from 1 species
UGGUAAAACCUCUCCUUGCCAAGGAGAAGACGCGGGUUCGAUUCCCGCUAUCCGC